AGUGAACGCUGGCGGUAGGCCUAACACAUGCAAGUCGAACGGCAGCACAGUAAGAGCUUGCUCUUACGGGUGGCGAGUGGCGGACGGGUGAGGAAUACAUCGGAAUCUACUUUUUCGUGGGGGAUAACGUAGGGAAACUUACGCUAAUACCGCAUACGACCUACGGGUGAAAGCAGGGGAUCUUCGGACCUUGCGCGAUUGAAUGAGCCGAUGUCGGAUUAGCUAGUUGGCGGGGUAAAGGCCCAACAAGGCUACGAUCCGUAGCUGGUCUGAGAGGAUGAUCAGCCACACUGGAACUGAGACACGGUCCAGACUCCUACGGGAGGCAGCAGUGUGGAAUAUUGGACAAUGGGCGCAAGCCUGAUCCAGCUAUACCGCGUGGGUGAAGAAGGCCUUCGGGUUGUAAAGCCCUUUUGUUGGGAAAGAAAAGCAGCAGGUUAAUACCCCGCUGUUCUGACGGUACCCAAAGAAUAAGCACCGGCUAACUUCGUG
rnacentral:rRNA from 1 species